CAGUCAAUGGCUGAAACCCAGACGACAACCGCGUGGGCAGAGAUACCGUCAGAUUUCACCGUGUUUCGGUUCCAGCAUCUACUAUGGAGGACACCAUUAGGAGACAGAUCCUGACCCGGCUCCUGUCCAAGUUCGAACUGGGACUCGAAAGAGAGCCGAUUGAUUUAGAUUAUUUUGAGUUUAUGUGUAGGCAGGAGUUGUAUUUGUGCAAUGCACUGUCAAGGCAUGUUGAUGUACCGACAGACAUAGUACAGGCCCUAGAGAACUUUUUUAGUCAUGUGAGGGACCACCUUGAGAGGCAGCACACUGGUAGAGUCCAGCCCGAUACAGUACCUGGGGAGGUGGGGCGUCCCAGGUUUGACAUUGAUAGGGAAUGCUUGGAGGAAGUCCUGGAGAUAAACCUCCCUGUUCCCUGCAUAGCAAAGAUGCUUGGUGUGUCAAGGAGGACAGUGUUUUUAGAAGGAUGAAGGAAUUAGGUCUUUCUGCUAGACGUUACCAUGAAAUGGAUGAUGAGGAGCUGGAUAAUGUUAAAAAAUGCAUAAAAAAUGAGAUGCCAACAACAGGCUACCGUAUGGUCAAGGGGAGGUUACGGUCUAUGGGUAUCCAUAUUCAGUGGAGGAGAGUGGCUGCACCGUGUAGACUCCCUGGGCAUCCUCUCAAGACUGUCAGGCCUAGGGUGCAUUUUGCAAAGGACAUACUCUGUCAGGGCCCUCAUUGUAUUACACAGAUAAUGUGCCUCAAUGCUGCCACCAACAACCUGGCUUCAACUGCAUUUGCUGCCUUCAAGCAGGCUACGGAAAGACAUGGCAUUCCCUCAAGGUAAACCUUAUAAAUGUGAACAUAAUUGGCAUGGGACCAGAAAGAUCCAUUUCAUUUUGAUCAUUUCAGUUCAGUUCUUCACCUUAAUACUUGUGUGUUAAUGUUAAUAUUACCGCUGAGAGCAUGGCUCCUGAAUGUUGUUAGUCCGUCCACCUGAAUGGCGUUGUCUGGAACGGUGCUAUUGAGCCACGUCUCUGAGGAUGAUGGCGUUGCAGUCGCUCACCUUUCUUUGUGUAGUUAAAUCCAGUCUUUUAGUCAUUUAGUUUCCCAGCGAACCAACGUUGGAUAGCAGUAUCAAUGUAUGGCACUAUCAAUGUUACCAGGGCAUACAAGUAAGUUGCCACGCGGGGUACUGACAGGGGAAGCUUCAUGUCAGGAAAAAGCGUUCACAAUCAAAGGUUUGUCAUGUCUGCCUUGUUCAUUCUGUAUAACAGUACACCGAGGCAGCCAUUGUGCCUUACUUAUUACAAUUCUGGCUGUUGUACAUUU